rnacentral:lncRNA from 1 species
CCUUCAGAGAACUGUUUUUAGCAGCACUGGAUUUUGGAAAAAAGUUUAGAAGGUGUUCAACUUAUUCAAAAUCAGCAUCCUACUAAAAUCCCAAUGAUAAAUGAGAGGAUCGAGGUUAAGCACCAGCUUCUUGUGGUUAGAUCUUAUAUGAGAUCAUGUCAACAAGACUGAAUUAAUCAAAAUGACUAGGAACUUAUUAGGUAAAUGCUAACAAAGCCUGUUCUUCAUGGUAAAUGCACAUCGCACCAUAAAGUUUCUACAACUAUUUCUGAAGUGUAUGAAAAUGACAAAAAUACAGGUAGAUUCUUAUAUACACUAUAUGCUUCAAGAAGACAUUUGGAAAGAAAUUUUCCUUCUAA